UAAAGGUUAGUUUAAUAAAAAUUUUGGUCUGUGGAACCUUAGAUAAUCUUAAGAUUACCUUUAC
rnacentral:tRNA from 1 species